rnacentral:rRNA from 1 species
UACGUAGGGGGCUAGCGUUGUCCGGAAUCAUUGGGCGUAAAGGGCGCGUAGGCGGUCACGCACGUCCGUUGUGAAAUCGCUCGGCUCAACUGGGCGGGUCAGCGGAUACGGCGUGGCUGGAGCAAGCUAGGGGGCAAUGGAAUUCCCGGUGUAGUGGUGGAAUGCGUAGAUAUCGGGAGGAACACCAGUGGCGAAGGCGGUUGCCUGGAGCUUUGCUGACGCUGAUGCGCGAAAGCGUGGGGAGCGAGUCCGG